UACGGAGGAUCCGAGCGUUAUCCGGAUUUAUUGGGUUUAAAGGGAGCGUAGGCGGUUCAGCAAGUCAGAAGUGAAAGCCCGGGGCUCAACUCCGGGACUGCUUUUGAAACUGUUGAACUAGAUUGCAGGAGAGGUAAGUGGAAUUCCUAGUGUAGCGGUGAAAUGCGUAGAUAUUAGGAGGAACACCAGUGGCGAAGGCGGCUUACUGGACUGUAAAUGACGCUGAGGCUCGAAAGCGUGGGUAUCGAACAGG
rnacentral:rRNA from 1 species